ACGAACGCUGGCGGCGUGCUUAACACAUGCCAGUUGAACGGAAAGGCCCUGCUUUUGUGGGGUGCUCGAGUGGCGAACGGGUGAGUAACACGUGAGUUACCUGCCCUUGACUUUGGGAUAACUUCAGGAAACUGGGGCUAAUACCGGAUAGGAGCUCCUGCUGCCUGGUGGGGGUUGGAAAGUUUCGGCGGUUGGGGAUGGACUCGCGGCUUAUCAGCUUGUUGGUGGGGUAGUGGCUUACCAAGGCUUUGACGGGUAGCCGGCCUGAGAGGGUGACCGGCCACAUUGGGACUGAGAUACGGCCCAGACUCCUACGGGAGGCAGCAGUGGGGAAUAUUGCACAAUGGGCGGAAGCCUGAUGCAGCAACGCCGCGUGCGGGAUGACGGCCUUCGGGUUGUAAACCGCUUUCGCCUGUGACGAAGCGUGAGUGACGGUAAUGGGUAAAGAAGCACCGGCUAACUACGUG
rnacentral:rRNA from 1 species